rnacentral:rRNA from 1 species
GACGAACGCUGGCGGCGUGCCUAAUACAUGCAAGUCGAGCGAAGUUUUUCUGGUGCUUGCACUAGAAAAACUUAGCGGCGAACGGGUGAGUAACACGUAAAGAACCUGCCUCAUAGACUGGGACAACUAUUGGAAACGAUAGCUAAUACCGGAUAACAGUAUUUCUCGCAUGAGAGAUAUUUAAAAGUUGGUUAUGCUAACACUAUGAGAUGGCUUUGCGGUGCAUUAGCUAGUUGGUGGGGUAAAGGCCCACCAAGGCGACGAUGCAUAGCCGACCUGAGAGGGUGAUCGGCCACACUGGGACUGAGACACGGCCCAGACUCCUACGGGAGGCAGCAGUAGGGAAUCUUCCGCAAUGGGCGAAAGCCUGACGGAGCAACGCCGCGUGAGUGAAGAAGGAUUUCGGUUCGUAAAGCUCUGUUGUUAGGGAAGGAUGGAUAUGUAGUAACUAUACAUGUAAGAGACGGUACCUAACCAGAAAGCCACGGCUAACUACGUG